rnacentral:rRNA from 1 species
UACAGAGGGGGCAAGCGUUGUUCGGAAUUACUGGGCGUAAAGGGCGCGUAGGCGGCCGCCUAAGUCAGACGUGAAAUCCCUCGGCUCGACCGGGGAACUGCGUCUGAUACUGGGAGGCUUGAAUCCGGGAGAGGAAUGCGGAAUUCCAGGUGUAGCGGUGAAAUGCGUAGAUAUCUGGAGGAACACCGGUGGCGAAGGCGGCAUUCUGGACCGGCAUUGACGCUGAGGCGCGAAAGCCAGGGGAGCAAACGGG